rnacentral:rRNA from 1 species
UACGUAGGGUGCAAGCGUUGUCCGGAAUUAUUGGGCGUAAAGAGCUCGUAGGCGGUUUGUCGCGUCUGCUGUGAAAACUCGGGGCUUAACCCUGGGCCUGCAGUGGGUACGGGCAGACUAGAGUGCGGUAGGGGAGACUGGAAUUCCUGGUGUAGCGGUGAAAUGCGCAGAUAUCAGGAGGAACACCGAUGGCGAAGGCAGGUCUCUGGGCAUUAACUGACGCUGAGGAGCGAAAGCAUGGGGAGCGAACAGG